rnacentral:lncRNA from 1 species
UUCAUUCCCUUUAUUUUUUUCCACACAAUAUUUUUAUUUUUUUUUCCCUCAAUUUUUUUCUCUUUCUUCAAUUUUUUUUCCUCUACGAAGAAACCCUCGACGAAUCGUGAGAAAAUUGGUUUUGGAAGAUUAGGUAUGUAUUUCAAUCUCUCUGUAUGGCUAAUUUGGUUUUAGAAUUCAUAAGUUUUGUUUCAAUCGUAUAUAUAUAUAUAUAUGUGUGUCUGUAUUGAUCUAUCUAUGGUUUUGUGAUUUUGGUUUGAUUCAGGCAUCAAACUAGUAGUUGGACUUCUUCUUCUUCCUCCUCUUGUUGAUCUUCCUCGUAUUUUAAUUUUUAAAGUUUCCAGAUUUUUUUAACCGUUCUUUAUGUUGUACUCAUCUAGGGCCGUUUGGUUUGAUUCGACACAAAACUAUUUCAAUUGGUUGGGUUUCUUUCUUCUUCCUCGUAAGUUUCUUCCUUUAAUCCUCUUUGUGAUUUUGUUUAGGGUUUCAAAAUUUAACUAAUCUUUUUCUGUUUCUUUAACUUUUGUUUUAGGGUUUAUGUUUUGAAUCUAACCAUGGAAGGUUGUCUCGGCUUCGUCGAGGUAUUUUUUCUAUCUCUCCGGUUUUGUUUUUUGUUUUUGAUUUUGUGGUUUUCAAUUUUUUUUGAGGAUUUGAAUCGAACUAGUAGAACUGAUUAGGUCUACGGUUUGAUCAAAUGUAUUGUUUUUUUCUUAAGCAAUCGACUUUUGUCUGUUGUUGUAUUGUGAAUCUGGAAUCAAGAUUUUGUUUUUGGUUUUUGUUUUCUUGAUCCAGUAACAAAAAAAAAANN